UGAACGCUAGCGGCAGGCUUAACACAUGCAAGUCGAGGGGCAGCAUAAUGAAGUAGCAAUACGGAAUUGAUGGCGACCGGCGGACGGGUGCGUAACGCGUAUGCAACCUACCUUAUACAGGGGGAUAACCUUUCGAAAGGGAGACUAAUACCGCAUAACAUUACUUUGAGGCAUCUUGAGGUAAUUAAAUCUUCGGAGGUAUAAGAUGGGCAUGCGUAGCAUUAGCUAGAUGGUGCGGUAACGGCGUACCAUGGCGACGAUGCUUAGGGGUUCUGAGAGGAAGGUCCCCCACACUGGUACUGAGACACGGACCAGACUCCUACGGGAGGCAGCAGUGAGGAAUAUUGGUCAAUGGGCGGAAGCCUGAACCAGCCAAGUAGCGUGAAGGAUUACUGCCCUACGGGUUUUAAACUUCUUUUAUGCGAGAGUAAUGUGCGCUACGUGUAGCGUAUUGCAAGUAUCGCAUGAAUAAGCAUCGGCUAACUCCGUG
rnacentral:rRNA from 1 species